rnacentral:rRNA from 1 species
UUAGCUGGUCUGAGAGGAUGGCCAGCCACACUGGAACUGAGACACGGCCCAGACUCCUACGGGAGGCAGCAGUGGGGAAUAUUGGACAAUGGGGGAAACCCUGAUCCAGCAAUGCCGCGUGUGUGAAGAAGGCCUGAGGGUUGUAAAGCACUUUCAGUGGGGAGGAGGGUUGAYAGGUUAAGAGCUARUUAACUGGACGUUACCCACAGAAGAAGCACCGGCUAACUCCGUGCCAGCAGCCGCGGUAAUACGGAGGGUGCGAGCGUUAAUCGGAAUUACUGGGCGUAAAGGGUGCGUAGGUGGUUUAUUAAGUUAUCUGUGAAAUCCCUGGGCUUAACCUGGGCAGGUCAGAUAAGACUGGUWGACUCGAGUAUGG